rnacentral:tRNA from 1 species
GGGGAACCUGGGGCUGGAUCACCUCCUUUAAAGAAAGCUGAUUAAGCGCUUUCGGAGUACCCACACAAAUUACCUAAUCAGAAAGCACGGACAUGGGUCUGUAGCUCAGUUGGUUAGAGCGCACCCCUGAUAAGGGUGAGGUCGGUGGUUCAAAUCCACCCAGACCCACCAUUUAAAGUGGACUUUUUUCAGGCGUCGAAAAUGAUGGCUGGGAAGAGAAGACUUAAGGCUUAUCGGGGCCAUAGCUCAGCUGGGAGAGCGCCUGCCUUGCACGCAGGAGGUCGGGAGUUCGAUCCUCCCUGGCUCCACCAUUUUCUUGUCCUUGAGUGCCAAGUGUUGAACCUGAAGGUUCAACACUUUGUAUUUAACAAAGUGCUGCUCUUUAACAAUAUGGUUUAGAUUGUAGAUAGGUGAAGUCCUAUAGAAGCACGAUUUAUUGUGUGACUUUGGACGAACUUAUAGCAUAUUCAAAUUCUCAAUAAAUGAAUAUGCGGGUAUGUUGCAUUCGAACAAAGAGACCAAUACCAGCAUAACUCCAGAGUUUUUGGGGUUAUAUGGUCAAGUGAAUAAGCGCAUAU